rnacentral:rRNA from 1 species
AAAUUGAAGAGUUUGAUCAUGGCUCAGAUUGAACGCUGGCGGCAGGCCUAACACAUGCAAGUCGAACGGUAACAGGAAGCAGCUUGCUGCUUCGCUGACGAGUGGCGGACGGGUGAGUAAUGUCUGGGAAACUGCCCGAUGGAGGGGGAUAACUACUGGAAACGGUAGCUAAUACCGCAUAACGUCGCAAGACCAAAGAGGGGGACCUUAGGGCCUCUUGCCAUCGGAUGUGCCCAGAUGGGAUUAGCUAGUAGGUGGGGUAACGGCUCACCUAGGCGACGAUCCCUAGCUGGUCUGAGAGGAUGACCAGCCACACUGGAACUGAGACACGGUCCAGACUCCUACGGGAGGCAGCAGUGGGGAAUAUUGCACAAUGGGCGCAAGCCUGAUGCAGCCAUGCCGCGUGUAUGAAGAAGGCCUUCGGGUUGUAAAGUACUUUCAGCGGGGAGGAAGGGAGUAAAGGGAGUA